UACGAAGGGGGCUAGCGUUGUUCGGAAUUACUGGGCGUAAAGCGCGCGCAGGCGGCUAUCCAAGUCAGUGGUGAAAGCCCGGAGCUCAACUCCGGAACUGCCAUUGAAACUGUUUAGCUUGAGGAUGAGAGAGGUGAGUGGAAUUCCCAGUGUAGAGGUAAAAUUCGUAGAUAUUGGGAAGAACACCGGUGGCGAAGGCGGCUCACUGGCUCAUUACUGACGCUCAGGCGCGAUAGCGUGGGGAUCAAACAGG
rnacentral:rRNA from 1 species